CUAACCGUGCGAAGGUAGCACAAUCACUUGUUCUCUAAAUCAGGACCAGUAUGAACGGCCUCACGAGAGCUAUACUGUCUCCCCCCUCCAAUCAAUGAAACUGAUCUCCUCGUGAAGAAGCGAGGAUAAUUAUAUAAGACGAGAAGACCCCAUGGAGCUUAAAACUUGUGUCACUACCUUACCCACAUCAACUAACUUAGCAAGCAUGACUACAAGUCUUUCGGUUGGGGCGACCACGGAGAAAAAUUAAACCUCCAUGAUGAAAAGAAUAUUCCUAAUCAAAGAGCAACCACUCGAAGAAUCAACAAACUGACAUAUUGACCCAAACAUUUUGAUCAACGAACCAAGUUACCCUGGGGAUAACAGCGCAAUCCAUUUCAAGAGACCCCAUCAACAAAUGGGCUUACGACCUCGAUGUUGGAUCAGGGUACCCAAGUGGUGCAGCCGCUACUAAAGGUUCGUUUGUUCAACGAUUAAAACCCUACGUGAUCU
rnacentral:rRNA from 1 species